rnacentral:rRNA from 1 species
AUACGGAGGACGCGAGCGUUAUCCGGAUUCAUUGGGUUUAAAGGGUGCGCAGGCGGCCGUGCAAGUCAGCGGUGAAAGCCCGGGGCUCAACCCCGGAAGUGCCGUUGAUACUGCAUGGCUGGAAUGCGGUCGAGGCGGGCGGAACGUGGCGUGUAGCGGUGAAAUGCGUAGAUAUGCCACAGAACGCCGAUAGCGGAGGCAGCUCGCCAGGCCUGCAUUGACGCUCGGGCACGAAAGCGUGGGGAUCGAACAGGAUUAGAUACCCUGGUAGUCCACGCCGUAAACGAUGGGCGCUCGUCGUCGGCGGCAGACAGUCGGCGGCCAAGCGAAAGCGAUAAGCGCCCCACCUGGGGAGUACGGUCGCAAGGCUGAAACUUAAAGGAAUUGACGGGG